AGUAACGCGUGAGGAACCUGCCUCAAAGAGGGGGACAACAGUUGGAAACGACUGCUAAUACCGCAUAAGCCCACGGCUCGGCAUCGAGCAGAGGGAAAAGGAGUGAUCCGCUUUGAGAUGGCCUCGCGUCCGAUUAGCUAGUUGGCGAGGUAACGGCCCACCAAGGCGACGAUCGGUAGCCGGACUGAGAGGUUGAACGGCCACAUUGGGACUGAGACACGGCCCAG
rnacentral:rRNA from 1 species